rnacentral:lncRNA from 1 species
GGAGGUGUGUGCGAAGGAAACUGUGUGAAUACGCUGCAUAAACACUGUAUUCUUAAAGCACAUUGGGAGCACGCUCUUUGCCUCAAAGAAUUCUGGGAAUUGUAGUUUACCCUUCGCAGAACUACAACUCCCAGCAGCGCCCAGAAUUCUUUAAGCGGGAGAAACGGCCUCCCAAUGUGCUUCCGAGAGGCGCUCGGGAGCCGUUGGUGGCGUUGGAAAGCCCUUAGCCCCACCUCCCUCUGGCCCCGCCCUUCCUCGCUCAGCCCUGCCUCCUCCGUCUCCGCGCGCAUGCGUGGUCGGGCCGGGCCGGCUGUGGGGGGGGGGGACUCGGUCUCGGUCCUCUCCGCCUCUUCGUCCCCGUCCCCCCCCGCGGCGGCGGCGGCGCUUCUUCCCUCGUCCCCGGAGGAAGGACGGGUCCACGCUGUAAGCCGAAGUUCACAACAGCCUGCACUGCUCACCGAAAAGCUGUUUCUCUGAAGGCUGCCUUACCAUGCGUGCUGUAUCCCAGAGAAUGCUGCAGUUGGGCCAAUGUGCUCCCUUUUGUCCAAAAGAAAGAAACUGCUUUAGGGACUUUCUUAUAUACCCUGAACAUAUCCUUGGAAAUAGACAUUACCUUCAUACUGUCCUGAGUGUUCUCCCUCCCACCAUCUUCCUCCAGAUCAGGAUGGCAGGAGGUCUGCAGAGCCUACAGGGACACAAAGAGCCAUACGGGAUAUUUUUAUUUUUCUGAACCUCAAAAUAGGCCUCAGACAGUUACAGAGAGACCUUUCCCGAGUAACCUUAGGGACGUAUAUUAGACCUCAGACCUUUUGCAUAUUCAUACAUUUUUUUAGAUUUAUACAAUCCAUAUUUAUGAAUGGCCAGUUUAUAACCAUAAGGCUAAAAUAGCGCAGAGGGGGGAAGUAAAUAAGGCUGGGGUAGAAUGAACGACCACGGGCUGAAAACUGAUUUACUAAGGGUGAAAUCCUAACUGCACUUACCUAGGAGUAAGAGCCACUGCUCACAGUCCUCUUCAAGGUCUUCUACAAUUAGGUCUUCUGAAUGGAAAAGAAGAGAAGGCUGGCAGUUAGAGAGACUUUCUUAUAUACGCUGAAAAUAUUCUUGGAAAUAGACAUUCCCUUCAUGUUGUCUUGGGCCUUUCUUGAGCUCCUCCAUUGAAGGAGCUCUUCUGCCAUCCUUCUCCACAUGAGGAAGGGAGGAGGUAUGCAGAGCCUACAGGAAAAACAAAGAGCCACAUGUGAUAUGUUUAUUUUUCUGAACCUCAAAAUAGGCCUCAAACAGUUCAAAGACCUUAGGGAGAUCCCAGGCCUUCUAGAGCUCUGGCGACCUAUGAGCCAGCAGAGGGAGGUGUCACAAUGAACCUUGUGAUCCAACAACCCUGGGCCCUGAGAAAACUAGCCGCCACGAGCACUGCUCCUAUUAAGUG